rnacentral:rRNA from 1 species
GAUGAACGCUAGCUACAGGCUUAACACAUGCAAGUCGAGGGGUAACGAGAGGGAAGCUUGCUUUCCUUGUCGACGACCGGCGCACGGGUGAGUAACGCGUAUCCAACCUGCCCCCAACUAGGGAAUAACCUUGCGAAAGUAAGACUAAUACCCUAUAAUUUCCUCAGAUGUCAUCUGACGAGGAAUAAAGAUUUAUCGGUUGUGGAUGGGGAUGCGUCUGACUAGCUUGUUGGCGGGGUAACGGCCCACCAAGGCAACGAUCAGUAGGGGUUCUGAGAGGAGGGUCCCCCACAUUGGAACUGAGACACGGUCCAAACUCCUACGGGAGGCAGCAGUGAGGAAUAUUGGUCAAUGGGCGGAAGCCUGAACCAGCCAAGUAGCGUGCAGGAUGACGGCCCUAUAGGUCGUAAACUGCUUUUAUACAGGAAUAAAGCUAGCCACGUGUGGUUAUUUGUAGGUACUGUAUGAAUAAGGACCGGCUAAUUCCGUGCCAGCAGCAGCCGCCG